CCUUUCCUGAAUAAAAACUAACAAUGAAAUACAGUUUAUACCUUACAUAGACUGUUUUGUUUAUUAUAAUUUCCAGACCUUUAGGAAAUUAUCCCUUAAUUGCCAAAUGUUUUCCUAUUUAAUUGUAUUUAUUAAAAAAAUAAGACAAACGUUAACAGUAAAUGUGAACUACAAUUUUAAAUUUAAAUGUACAAUAACAUUAAUCCUAACUUUAAAAGAUAAACUUGAAAUUAAGCUUUGCCAGCAAUAAUACAAUAAUUAACCCAAAAGAUAUUUUAAAACAGUUUUAAGAACUUUCCUAAAUUUACUAAAAGAAUAAAAUACUUUAAGCAAAAGAUCAAAAAUGUAGGAGUCCGGCUCCUAAGAGUCCGCUAAAAAUGAAAUAUUCCUUUCUAACUUAGAAAACGCUAAAUUUACUAUUUUCCUUUACAAUUUAACCCCAAAAAAAAAAUGAAGUUUGUGAGAAAAAUUAACCAUUUUGACAAAAAUUACUGAUGAGCGAAAUAAAAUACUAACUGUAACGACCAAAGAUUUAAGCAGAACUGACGAACAAGCGUCGAAAUUACGUCAAUGUUGGAUUGUUGGCAAAGUUGGAAAAUUGUUGGAUCGCGCGCUUGCUGUCCAACGAAAUAUUUGAAUUCUCAAAUAAAUUACAAAAAUCAUAAUAAUAUACAAUUUUAGUAACAGUCAUAUAAUAAACAAAUUUUGCAUGGUACUAAACAAAUUUCUAUAGUAGCUAAAAAUACACCAAUAAAACUUCACCGGAAGUCACAAUACGUAAACAACAUUGCCAAAAGUUAUGUGUGUCACCGGCUAUCCAAAAUGACAAAUAUCAAGGAUAGUGAGCAUUAACAUCUGCAAAACAUGGAAGACGUUGACUACAAAUACUAAAAGGAAUUACAAAGAGUAUUUGAAAACAGUUGCCGAAACGUAAAAAUAGUGUUUUUAUUGAAAAAUCGUCCCAAGUGACACAUGGGUUCCACUGCGCAUGUCAGUACAUUUCAUUCAUAAAAUUCAAGCAAGGUGCGUGGAUUUACUACGAGAUUUACUACGAUCUACUACAGUUGCUACAAUUGGAUCAUCACAAAAAUACAAGACAUUCAGUGGAUUAUUACUAUGAACUGAUACACCAGAAGGUUCACCAUUAUGACCAUCAGCACGAGGGCAGUAGAUACCAGACAGACAUAUAUAUAUAUACCAAAUGUGGAAAAUUACUGAACAUUACGAACAAUGUGGAACAUGGCUAAGAACCAGAGGUUUUCCGAAGGAAAAUUUAGUUACCAUGCAAACAGUACCAAAAUAUUUAAAUAUAAGUUUAAAAAUACACCCAAAAAUAACUUUUAAUUCUCGAAAGCUUUGACUAUAUCUAAUAUAAAUAACUUAUAAACUUUUCAUGAAUUUCAAAGAUAAAUUUUCAGUCUAAGUAACUUUAAAUAACUUUUUAUCUUAACCUUAAAUUACUUUUGAUGUUAACAACUCUAAUAAACAAUACCUUAAAUUUCCAUUAAAAAUAUAAAAUUA